rnacentral:rRNA from 1 species
AUUGAACGCUGGCGGCAGGCUUAACACAUGCAAGUCGAACGGAGUGGCGGACGGGUGAGUAAUGUCUGGGAAACUGCCUGAUGGAGGGGGAUAACUACUGGAAACGGUAGCUAAUACCGCAUACUAUCAGAUGAGCCUAGGUUGGCUUGGCUAGUUGGUGGGGUAAAGGCAUACAAAGGCGACGAUCCGUAACUGGUCUGAGAGGAUGAUGAGGCACGCUGAAACUGAGACACGGUCCAGACUCUUACGGGAGGCAGCAGGUGGGAAUAGUGGACAAUGGGGGAAAGCCUGAUCAAGCCAUGCAGCGUGUGUGAAGAAAGUCUUCGGAGUGUAAAGCACUUUAAGUUGGGAGGCGUUACCAACAGAAUAAGCACCGGCUAACUUCGUGCCAGCAGCCGCGGUAAUUC